rnacentral:lncRNA from 10 species
UAUGAACACACAGGCAGCAGCACUUUGAUUACAGUAACUUACAUGGAAGUUAUUUUAAAAUGGCUUUCCCCUUCUCUUUUUCAUGUAGGCUGCAUUUUUCAUCUGCAGCACGCUUUCUCUCAAGAAUCUCAAGCACACACAAGAAACCAGAGAGUAAAAUCACUGAGGCGUGAACACAUCCAGAGACCAAGGGCGUCACUGGCAGAAAAGCUUUUAGGCGGAUCCACGGCCCGAGAGCCACCCUGCCCAGAGACGCGGUUUCCUAGGAGCAGUUCACACGCGGCUCUGCAGCACCCACAAGCGGGGCCAGGGGCUGGUUUUCAUAGUUCACAGUCUGCAGGGAUCUUAACAAAAACAUGGCCGUGGUAAAAGUGCCUAGACCAGGCUUUCGUCACAACUCGGAAGUGUCAGAAGACUUUCAGAAGCACAUGCAGUUGCAGCUCCAGUGUUUCAACAGUUGCCCAUUUCCAAGGCCUCCUAAAUACGUAUGAGGCCUGUGGACAACUUUCUCCUCAGCUGUUACAGAACCUGGACAACUUGUAGUGAAGACCUUCCACACCAGUAACAUAUUUUGGUGAGCCAGUCGGGAGUUGGCUAGAUUAGUUCCCCAGUCUGUCUUCUCGCCACUCUGGAUGUCCACAUGAGAGGACCCAAGCACGAAUGGUUAGAAAGAUGAACUUGGAACCUCAGACGAGAAUAUGAGAAACAUAAACAGAGACAUAUGACAACCUAAAAAAUGGAGUACAAUACCAAUAAGAAUAACGAUGGAGGCUAAAAAACUUGCCCAACGUCACAUGGCUGGGAGUGGAAGAGCCAGGAAGAGUCCAGGAGGUAUGACUCCAGACCAGCAGUCAUCAGUCAAUAGAAGCAGUCCACACAAACCAACCCGAACAAACCACUUGAAGAAAACAUUUAUUCAGCC